rnacentral:rRNA from 1 species
UACAGAGGUCUCAAGCGUUGUUCGGAUUCAUUGGGCGUAAAGGGUGCGUAGGCGGCGCGGUAAGUCGGGUGUGAAAUCUUGGAGCUUAACUCCGAAACUGCAUUCGAUACUGCGGUGCUUGAGGACUGGAGAGGAGACUGGAAUUUACGGUGUAGCAGUGAAAUGCGUAGAGAUCGUAAGGAAGACCAGUGGCGAAGGCGGGUCUCUGGAAAGUUCCUGACACUGAGGCACGAAGGCCAGGGGAGCAAACGGGG